rnacentral:lncRNA from 1 species
CUCCGUGAGUAAAGAAGCUUGCUUUAAGCCCAGCAAUCUUGAGUAAAAUCCACAGGACACACAUGGAAGAAUGAUAGAACUGAUUCCCACAAGUUGUCCUUUAAUCUCCACACGCAAUCUAAUAAACAUGUACACAUACAUGUGUGCACAUGUUUACACACACAACAAACAAAUGAUUGUAAGAAAAAAGUGCAUUUAUAUUUUAUGAAUAUACAUGAAAUUUCUAGGUGAUUUUUGCAAAUUUUAAAACUAUAAUAAAUUUGGUGAAAAACUGCCAACUACCCAAAGCCUGAUAAAAUUGCUUAAAGGCAAGAUAUGAAGUAAAGCAAUAUUUAUUAAAUAAAUCUACUUAAUCUGGGCAAGAACAAAAGAAAUCUAUGCAACUGAGCCAUGAGCUUCUUCUUUCCUUAUCUAGCUGAAUCUGACUGAAUGCAUACAUCUUACAUCAACACAAUAAUAAAAAUAAAAAUUAAAAAAGAAACUUCCCUCUGGGUAGGCUUGGCAGAGAACACAGGCUACUGCCCAUAGCCACCAGCCAAGGGAGAUCACUAAGAGAGAUGAGCUAUCAGCCACUAUUGCCCUCCACCUCACAAGCUCCUGGAAACCACAAUUGUGGUCAAGAAGGAUGGUGGAAUGUGUCUUCUUUACAUCAAAUUUCAUCAUAGAGAAGAGACUCUACUCCCAAGGAUGGCUGAGUAUUACUGGUCCACCAGAUGCCCUUAACUCAGCUCGCCCAUAGGCAGAGCUCCAGUCUUAGGAGACCCAAGUUGAGAAGACCACAGGCUACUACCCUUUCCUAAGAUCCCAGUCACAAAGCCAUGAGCAAAAUCCCAAGAAAAAUGGGACAAUGUCUCAACACCCAACUAUAGAGAGUGACUCUCAGUUUUCUGCUUCAGCAACAGGGAUAGACCUUUAAACAGGGGUCUCCAAUGCUCUUCCUAACGAAUCUGAACAGACUGCAGUAACUCUCUGUAACAAGGUGUAUUUGGUAGUAAACAAUUAAGAAGCUGCUGAGAAGUCUGUUAAUUAAGAUCCACAGUCUAAACCACAAAUAAAGGACUUUACUGAGAAGAGCCAAGGAAAGAGACAGUGGUGAAGAGCUCUCCUGAGAUCUGAACAAACCUCAAAUACUACAAGUUGGAAGGGUACCAAAUUUAAUUGGAGCUGACUGUUGAACAAUUGGUACCCCAGGACAUGUUCAAAAAUAAUAAAGCAAGCCCUGCCCAGCAAGUGGCAAAGCCUAACAUCUGGGUGUGAUUGGCACAAAAGCACAGUUCAGUUUAACUGAAAGAUCAGGAACAGAAAAAGUCACAGAGCGCUCUGAGGAAGCCACCACCAUCCUGCAGUGACGGUGCUUAUGCUGGAGGCUGUGAUCUCUGCAUAUCAGUGUGAAGACUUCACACUGAGGCGAACUCUGCCUCGACAUAACAGUUUAAUUAAACCACAAAACAAGAAUGUAACAGCAAAAGUAAGCCUUGGAAAUGGGAGGUGGAAAUCAAUAUCUAGUUGAUACAACAUAUUACCUUACAUGCCCAAUUUUCAACAGAAAGAAUUAGGAGACAAGGGAAGAAACAGAAAAGAGAGGGCAAUGUGCAGAAGAGAAGUUGAGCACCCAGAAACAAUAAGCAUGCUCCAGCGUUGACUAAGCCCAAGACUUCAAAGCUGCCAUUAGAAAUAGAUUCAAAGAAGUAAAAGAAACAAUGUGCAAAGAAGUGAAAGAAAUGGAGCAUCCUUCCCAAAUUUUUUUUUUUUUUGUAAAAAGCAAUGAGAAAAUUAGCAACAUUUGCCCUAAUCAAUAUUCCCCUAAGAGGAAGAAGCUAAGGGUUUACAACAAGCUUAGGUGAAUUUAUCCACACAAAAUGGUGGAAGAUCUUAAUAAGGAUAUUCAUGAUAUUUGGGAUAUUGUGUCUAGCCCAGGUCCAAUCUCAUACACUCCAGCUCCAAAGUAGUUUUGAAAGUUCAUCGUCUAUGUUCACAGUGACAACAAAAACCCUGGGAGACAGCACGGAGCAGAAAGAGGCUGGACCUCCUUGGGUCCUUUCACAUCACUGCCCUUGCUUAACCAGUCUGGAGAGGCCUUGGAACAGAGUCCCUUUGAAAAGGUCCAGAUAAGUUGACUACAAUUCUGCAGUAUCAUGCCUCAGCUCAUAUGUGUCUGGAGGAGUUGAAGCAAGAACAAAGCUUCUGGACUUGCUGUCCUUACAGAGUUGAUGGUGGGAGGAUGGAAAAAUGGAGUAUGGCCUUCAUUAGUGGAAUUCUGAGUUUGACAUAAGCAUAUGCAAUGAUCUUCAAAUCAGAAGAUUAUUCAGAUGAAGCUAAAAAAAAAGUCCUAUGAGCACCUUUGGAGGCAAGCUAGCAGGAGAACUGGAAGCUUAAAGAUCUCCAUAGUACACUCUUCUUCCUUUCAGCAAGUCUCUAAUCUGUUCUUCUCCCUUGAACUUGACACAGUUUCCCACAAGUAGGAAUUCAUGAAGCUUCCUCCUGUGCUCCCAAAGAGCAUUAUAAUUAAAUUCUCAUUUUGAGAUAAAUGUACUUUCAUAUGCCUGGGCAAUGAGUAAUGAUGAUGAAGUCUGUUGUACCCUUUCCCCAGAUUCCCCCACUGGUAUUGUGUUGAAGAAGUAUUAAAAGCAGAAUAAUUAGGAUAGUGACAUGGACAGACAAGAUAUACAACAUUUGCAUCAUCCUGAUGAUUGGCUGUGAUAUACUUUUAUAUUCAUCAUCACUUCUCUCCCACUACUUCUUCUUUAAUCUUUCCCAAUUACACACACACACACACACACACACAUAUGUGUAUAUAUAUAUAUAUAUAUAUACACAUAUACACAUAUAUAUGUAGAUAUACUUAUAUACAUAUAAUAUAUAUAUGCACAUACAUACACACAAGCACCCUAAAUGUGUAUAUAUGUGUGUGUAUUAUGUAUGUAUGUAUCCCUAAAUAUAUAAAUACAACUUAAACAGUCCAUAUAAUGUUACUGGUGUGUAUAUAAUCUCAGGACUGACCAGGUAGCAUUGAAAAUGGGGCCUUUUGUGAUACUUUUACAUGGAAGCAUGUAGUGCUCUGUUCUAUUCUGGACAUGAAAAAGAAGUGACUUUCUAGAAGAAUAUGUGAAUUUGUACCAGUAAUGUAUGAAAAUGUACUAGUAAUGUAUGAAAGACUCAGAUUCCAAGUAUUCACAACAUCAUGAGACAUUUUAUCUGUUUCAUUCGGGUUUGAUAAGAGAGUCUGUAAGAGUUACUCUCGUGUAUCUGUGACCAAAUCCCUGACAAGAUGCACCUUAGCAGAGGAUGAACAUUUUUUUCUUAUAGUUAAAGGCAAUACAAUCCAUCAUGUCAAGGAUUCCUGUAGGAACCAGAGGUGGUAGACAACAUCAAGGAAACUGAUUCUUCAAGACACAAGGCUGAUACACACAUAAAUUCACAAAGACUAUGACAACAUGAACAAGACCUGUGCAGAAUCGAGCCAGGCAAUGGGAGAAGUGGAUAUGGACACAUCCCACUCCUAGCCAAGAAGCUAUUUGCGAUGGAAUCUAUACGAGAGGGAAAAUCAAUUUCCUUCAUUGAAGUGACUCUGGGUAUAUCAACAACAAUUGAGACCAUGCCCUAUGCAUGGCAAACACAAAUCAGACUGCAUGGCUUUGGUUUUUUGGUUUUUUGGUUUUUGGUUUUUGGUGGUUUUUUUUUUUGUUUGUUUGUUUGCUUGCUUGCUUGUUUGUGUUUCUUUUUAUUGUUGUUGUGCUUUGGUUUAUUUAAAGAUCACACAAGAACACGAAGUUACAUGGGUACAGAGGUGGGGAGGACCUGUGAGGCUGAAGGCAGGGAAAUACUAUUACCAAAAUAUAUUGUACCAAGUUUUCAAAAAAUAAAUAUAAACAUUAAAAAAGUUCCAAUUCGGAGAAAUUACCAUAGCAAGUGUCACCAUGGAAGUGAAACAGCUGGAACUUUAAUAUGUUGUUGGUGUGAGCAAAAGUUAUUUCUUCCACUUCAGAAAAUCAUUUGGUAAAUUGCUCUAAAAUAAGCCUAUACCAUGAUGUAGUAAUUCUACUUCUAAGAGAUUUUCCAAAAAA